GGGAGGUGAAAGGGAGGUAGCAGAGGAUGGGGCUGGCAUCCUGGGACCGCGGGGGAAAGCUCUAAUUCUUACACCCCCUUCCCCUCUGACUCCACUUUUCAUUCAUGAGUGGUGAUUCACUGUUGUCUCUUAUUAUUCUUUCUCCUGUGUAUGGAUUUAAAGCACCCAGUCAGUAUGGAAAAUAGCAUCCCACGUAAAUGUCAUCUGCUCUGUGGAGAAAAAACAAGAAGAUCGUAAAGUUUCAGCAAAUCUAUGCCAGCCUUACUGCACAGGAUGCUUCCCAGGACAGACCUCUAGAGCAGAGCUGUCCCUCUGUUCUUCCAUGGCCAUCUCCUCCCACUGCAGCUGGUUCUUGAACAGGAAUCCAACUGAAGCAGCAAGUGUAGUUUCCAAAGCACAACUCACGUGGAAACAUGAAGCAUAUUUAAUUUAGGCAUAUUCUCAGAGCUUCUUUGCUGCGGAGAGAGCUUGCUCAAGGCUGCCAUGAUGCUUUGUAGAUCAUGCACCAUGAGAAACAGUGGUUGUGCUUAUACCUUUGUGGAGUUGUGGCUUCCAGCUCACUGUGGACUUGGCAGUGAGUCCCUGCUGGUGAUUUUGCUGUCUGUAUUAGUUAUUAGUCAGCUGGCUGGGAGUUCUGAUGCAAUCUUUGUACUGGUGUGAAAGUAGCAGCAUAUCACGUGGCAGGAGAACAUUCAUGCAAAAUUACCUUGUACUCUCUGCAAGAAUGAAGACAGUAUGACUUUUGCAUCUAAAUACAAUGAUGCUUUCAUGACAGAAAACUGUCUCUCAGACCCUCCACCUGGGUGGGUGUGUACAGCUACAAGAACUACCUUCACACAAACAUUGCAGAGAGGAGUUGUUACUGACAGCUGAAUAAAAGGCUGCCGAAAACAAAAGCCAUAGGCCUUACACCCACGGCAUGCAAGAAUGGUUUUCACAUACUGCCAUCUGUCGCUACAGUGUGCCUGUUUAUCACUACACUAUGCCGCUGGGGUUUUUAUUCCAGCAAUAAGCAUAUCCCUUCCAAGAAGUCUGUUAAAAGUGCAGUUAAGUUUGAAGAACUGCUUUAAUUCAUACAUGCUCUGCCUGAGACAGCAUACAAUGAGAUCCUAACAAUUCUGCUUUCAAUUGUGGCAAUAGCCAAAUGAGUGUUGUUUUUUCUCCCACUUAUUUCAAUAGUAAGCUUCUAUCUUUAUUCAGACCAGUGUUCUAAAUCAGCAGUAAAUUUACAGCAAAACGUAUACACACAUAUCACAAACUUUGCAUAUAUUUAUACACAUCAAAAUUAUAAAAGAUUGUGUCAGUGCAUGAAUACAUUUACAUGUACUGCCCUACUUUAAUUUAGAGUGCCAUUUCAAAAUGUAUGUUUCGUUGUGGUUUGCAUAUAUAUAAACUAUGGAUUUGAGUCCAAAAUCUGAUCAGUGAGCACCUCGUUCCCUAAAUCUGUAUUACAAAAAACAGAACAUAAUGUUUUAGAAGCUGUCAGGAAAGUAAAACGAUUUGUAUGUAAUCGAAGAAGGGGUGCUCACUGCACGUUGGAGAGCAAUCCUAAAGCAGUCAGGCACACACGGCUCUCAGAUACACAGUGACAAACCACUUGGCAAGUUGCUAAAAACAGCAUUCAGGCUAAAGGUAUUUAAAACCUGCGCGCACCCCCUGUCCGAAAGGGAAUCUCCUGCCUUGGAUACUUAUCUGUAGUUCAGUAGAACUAGGCCAAUUCCUAGCUCUUAAUUCCUCUACAACCUGGAGCAGCUCUCUUUAAGCUCUACCCCCACAGCUCAUCUGCCCAGCAGAGCUAAUUAUGUUCCUUUCUCUCCUGCCUAUUUGAUUUGCAAGGUCUACAGGCAUAGAUGUCUCUAUGUACAUAUUGGCAUACAGGCUCACGACUGUUUUGUGCUUGGCAUCAUCUGAAUGUGACCUAAAUGUUUCUAGAUCUAAGCUGACCAGUAAAAAGCCUCACUCUCAGGACCUAGAGCAGCAUGCCCCAGCCCCCGACCUGCAAAUGUCACAGCAAGAGGCACAGUCCAGGAUCAGCAUACAGCCUGGAUGAAUUUCUCACGAAGUUGACAGUACAAGCAGAGGGCAGUAUUUCUGUGGCCAAAGAGAGCAAAAUAAGCACGGUAUUGAAGCAGAAGUGGUGAUAAUUAAAUAUCGUGUGAAAGCAGCU